GCCUCUGUAGCUCAGUUGAUUAGAGCUCGACAACUGUCCUCUGUAGCUCAGUUGAUUAGAGCGCUGCAUCGCAGGUUCGAUUCCUGCCAGGGACC